CCUACGGGAGGCUGCAGUGAGGAAUAUUGGUCAAUGGGCGGGAGCCUGAACCAGCCAAGUCGCGUGAGGGAAGACGGCCCUACGGGUUGUAAACCUCUUUUGUCAGGGAAUAAGGUGAAGGUCGGGUGCCUUUUUGUGAGUACUUGAUGAAUAAGGAUCGGCUAACUCCGUGCCAGCAGCCGCGGUAAUACGGAGGAUCCGAGCGUUAUCCGGAUUUAUUGGGUUUAAAGGGUGCGUAGGUGGGUUGUAAAGUCAGGGGUGAAAGUUGGCGGCUCAACCGUAAAAUUGCAAUUGAAACUGGCAGUCUUGAGUGCAGUAGAGGUAGGCGGAAUGCGUGGUGUAGCGGUGAAAUGCAUAGAUAUCACGAAGAACUCCGAUUGCGAAGGCAGCCUACUGGCCCGCCACUGACACUGAUGCUCGAAAGUGUGGGUAUCAAACAGGAUUAGAUACCCUUGUAGUC
rnacentral:rRNA from 1 species